UAGCCAUAGCAGCUUCGAAGUCCCUCGUUUUAUUAUCUCAGUAUAUUAAUAUAAUCAUAUUUUUAUAGCGUUUUUUUAUUGUUAUAAUUCUUGUUGAAAAUUAUGUUUAUCCCUUCAGUUAGGGAUUUUUGUAAUUCGAUUAUUUUGUUCUGUGUCUUUUUUGGUCUCUUCGCUAGCUAGCUAUUAACAUUCUAACUAGUAAGGUGACUCGCAAUUAGCCAACGCCUCCCUCCCCUACCAAUCAUGGCACUGCUUUACUCAGGACGCUCGUAAAAGCUACCAAAGAUCACAUUGACGGAUGUACAUCGUCUGGCCAAGAUAAGUAGCAAAGCACCGAACUCCAAGUUAAAAACAAGGAUUCAAACUUUGUGUCCAGUUACCUUUUCAACUACGAAGGUAAGUAUAGCCAAGUUGCCUAUCAGAUCAGACAAGGACGUUUACUCAAAGCUGUAACGUAGUUUAAGACAUGCCUUUUACAGUAGCUAGCUAAUAUGAUUGCUCUUUCUUUUUAUUCCAAAACAGCUUCGAACAGGGCCAACGUGACAGGAGAGGUCAGCAUAAGGGCUUGCUGCUAUAGGUCCAUGAGGAAAAAUUAGAAACCACACAGUUUGAGUGUAGGGUGAAAAGGCAGGUGUUUGUGACACACUAUAUGCAGGUUACACAGUCAGAGAUGAAGCCUAGUCUUAGACUAAGGAGUUCCUGUCAAUGGAGAUCUGCAUUAAGAGGCAUUGCUUAGUCUAUGAAUAGGCUUAACCCAUGUCUAUCAAACCGUUCUUAGUGUAGUAAUUGUUCAGUUGUUUUCCUUGCUGUUUAUGUGAGCUCUGUUAUGUUGGACGCAUUAGAUUACAAUUAAACAAGGACAUAUACCGUUAAUAGAAAAGUUUACAUCCGUAUUGCUGUAAUGAAUUUAGUUGCAUGUUGCGGCAGUCAUUUCUGUUUGCGUUGAGUGAUUUUUAGUCUAAUCAUUUUCUUUUUAUAUCUCCGCGUGGGUUGUACUGAAGCCCUCUGAGCCAGUAACAAUGACACAUCACCACACAGUUGCAUUACUAUUCCAGUCUGCACACUAAGAUGGGAACACCAGUCAUCCCAUCUGUGCACAGCUGCACAGAGGCCGAGCAGCAGUGGCAUAAGCCAAGGACUAUGGGUCUGCAACCUGGGCCCAUAGGCAAAAUGACCAUCACCAAGGCCACCAAAAAGCGCAUGGCAGAAGGAGGGAUUAGGUGGUUUCAAGUACAUUGUUUAGAUUGGCUAACCACAGCGGCUGCUUUGCGGAAGUACAGCGCCCUUUUUGGAACGCUCCCUGACCUCUCAGUUCUCCAGAUAGAAGAGGCAUACAAGAACUUUGACCCUCUAUCCAAACCAUUGAUCUGCAGCAUGGGGAUGAAGGCUGAAAAGCUUUUAGGUGACUCCCACUUUGGAAGGGUAUAGUUGGAGAGCCUCCUGUCUUACCAGCAGCCUCCAAUCACAAUGUGACCAUAGUUCACUAUAAGGAGACACCACCAUUCCCUUUACUGCCCCUGGAUGGCUACAGACUGGAGAGCAACUUUCAAGGCUGCACUUGUGCUCAAUGAAGAAGACCAGCUUCACAUAGUCUCUUCAGGUGAGAGAAUACAUAGAGACCCAGCGGUGUUCUCACUAAUUAGAGAGAAGGGUGACUGGUACUACUUAUGUGUACAUGCAAAAGUUCUUAGGCAGGAAAGACUAAAUAACAAGGGACAGGCUCCUUUAUCUUUCAAUUAAUGAAAGGGAAACAAAUCAACAUCUGUCUGUGCAAUUCAUUAAUAAUUUAAAAUAAUUCAGUAAAAUGUUUCUGUUCUCAUCACUGUAAAUAAAAACUCUUUAUAACAUUU